GUGUCUCUUGCACAGUAAUAUACACCAGAUUCUUCACUUCUCAUAUUAGUGAUUUUGACAUAAACUUCAUUCUUUGCGGUGUCUCUGGUGAAAGUGGCUCGAUUGUUAAACGAGGAGCCAGGCUGUGAGGUUCCACUGUUGAUAAUACGACCAAUAUAUUCCAGUCCCUUUCCUGGAAGCUGUCUGAUCCAGCCCCAGUGAUAACUAGUAACAUCCACUGAAACUUUACAGGUCAGUUUCAUAGUCUCUGAGGGUUUCACAGUUACUGAUCCAGGUUGAUCCAGGGUAACUGCUUGCGAGAGGACAUCUGAAACAUAAACAUGUUUAAUAAACAUUGGAAGCCUUAAUAACUAAAUAUUGUUUUUCUCAAAUAUGUGCAGUAUAACUAAACACCUUACAUGACACAGAUAUCAGCAGAGGGAGCACAAUGUAGAAAGCCCUCAUUAUGUUCAGUGGAUAAUCAGAGCAGACAGUACAGACAGUAUCUGCUGGUUCGUAUCACUGAGCUCAGUCUGUGACACACACAGCUUAUAACAGGACGGAGAGACUCUGAUUUACAUGAAGAUCUCUAUAAGAGGAAGACAGACUGAGGCUUGGUUUUUCAUUCAGCAAGGGGAAAAUUAAACAUAUAAAUAAAGCAUAACUGCUAAGGAGGACAAUAUAUAGGUGAUGGAAUAUCAAAAAUGUAUGGUGAAUAUAAAAUAAGGUCUCUGCAUCUUACAGCAUUAUUGAUUUCAUGUGUCAUAUAACAUUAUUAUUGAGAUGUAGUAAGCAUGGUAUUAUUAUUAUUUUAUUUUUUUCUAUUUUUUUUUACUUAAACUCAACUCUUUAUCCUACGUGGAACAAAAUGUAUAACUUUUGAUAAACAAUCUGUGAUCCAGAGGAGAUUAUAAUGGUAUUUGAAUUAUAAACCUACCUUAUAAAAUUGUAUUGUUGACAAAAAAAAAAAAAAAAAACAUGUCAGACAGUUUUGGACAAGAUUACUAAUAGUGUCUAUGUAUUAUGUAAUGGUGAUGAUUAGUAAAUUAUUAGCAGAUGACAGCCAUCAUGAAUAUGAGCACAUUAAAGAGUUACUUCAAGCACCAUAAUCACUUCAGUGAGUUGCUUCUGGAGGUGUAACUCCACCUCUGCAUCACAAGCCAGCCCACUAAUGCUCUCAGCUAACGAAUGGCAAUAGUAUUGUCAUACAUGUUCUGUAGCUAUGCAGAAGCUGGAUGCACAUCACCAGAGCAGAAAGGACCCUGAUGCCCAUUGGACAUCCAGGCAAGAGGGCAAACUGUUGAAAAAUAGUUUGUCCCAUUACUUGGGAACAGGGAAAGUUCACUCCUCACAUCUUAACCACUACAGACGAGCUGUACUAGUAAUGAGGCUUGGGAUAACCCUUUCAUAUUGUUAUGUAUUAGCAUAACAUAAACUCAAUAUUGAGUUAUCACAGGUCUACCAGAAAGGGAUUAACGUUAUGUAGACUAAAAGUUCUUGCAGCAUACAUAAACGGACAUGCUCUACUAUUCCAGAAAACAAAUAAAGGUCACUACUGUACAGUUGUUGAGUUGAAAGUUUACAUUACAUUACUGACAGUAAUCUGCUGUUCUGGCUUCUUCAUCUUCACUUGGUUAUUAGCCUAAGUUACACUAUUCUUAUACACUUUAAUUUCUGAUUUCAUUUCAUUAGCCCCUUAACCCCUUAAGGACACAUGACAUGUGUGACAUGUCAUGAUUCCCUUUUAUUCCAGAAGUUUGGUCCUUAAGGGGUUUGUUUGUUUUGUACUUAAGGACACAUGCAUUUUAGUAAUGUUUGGUAUGUGUGUAUUUCAGCACAAUCCCAUCUUUUUGAUUGAUUGCAACAACACAUAUAAAGGACCAAAUGGGCUUUAAUGUGAUGUGACAUAGACAUACAUAAAUUCUCAUGUAUUGUAAAAAAUAUAUAAUUUAAAAAAAAUAUUUUUAUUUAUAUAUAGGUAUAUAUAUAGUGAUAUAUACGUAUAUAUUUAUGUAUAUAGAUAUAUAUAUUAUUUCUUUCUACAUGUAUUUUGAUAUAAAUAUAUAUAUAUAUAUAUUAAUAUCACAAUACAGUUAGAACGAAAUAACACACAUCUAUAUAUUUUUUAAUUAUUUAUUUUUAAUUAUUUUUGUAAUUUUAUUUUUUAACGUAUUUACAUAUUUAUUUUUUUAUAUUAUAUAUAAAUAUAUCUAUAACAAUAAUUAUAUAUAUAUAUUUAAUCAGUAUCAGUCUAUGUGUAAUUUGAUAUUAAUAUAUAUAUAUAUAUAUAAUUAUAUAUAUAUUAAUAGUAAAAUACACCUAGACAGUGUAUGUGUGUGUAUGUAUAUGUGUAUAUAUAUACUUAGAUCAUAUAUAUAUAAUGUAUAUAUAUAUAUAUGAUCUAAGUAUAUAAUUAAUUUUUUUACACUUUUUAAUUUAAUUUUAUUUUAUUUCCAGCCAGCAGGGGGACUACCUGUCAUUACAAUGCAGCAGCCAGCUAUCCUGGCCAUGUGAUUGUGAGGUCCUCGCAAGGACCUAACUCUCACAUGGCAGGGGGGGGGCUGCAGGAUGGAGGAUCCGCCGCGGGGGGCUCCCUGGGAGUCCCCCCAACCACGAUCGCCGGCGACCGUGUAAGUAAGAAAAAACUAUUACGCCCGGCGGCGUUUAGAGCCGCCUAAAAUAGGGCGUAAUAGUACGCCCUCCGGUCUUAAGGGGUUAAGGCAUUUGCAAUAUAUACAUACAUCGAGUUGAAAUCAGUGACAAAGGUAUAAGCAUACAAGUUAAAGAUAACAAUGUGUCUGUCGCAUGUUGACAGAGAUAAUAAUGAUAGCCUAUUGUUAAGCUUAUAAUCACUAAUGAGUAGAGUCUGCCUAUUUUUUGUUAGGUUAAUGUCAAGUAGUGUAGUGCGUCAGUGUGACUAUGUGGAGUCUAGUGUAGAAACGUUAAACUUGGGACAUCAGUGGCGCACCACAUUUGUGUAGACCCUUGUAUGUGCAAUGGGCCUGGGGCUAUAGUCAGUCGAGGUAGUGUGCGCUUAAAGUAUGUGCUCCUGUUUAGCAUUUCAGAGUGAGGCAAUAUAGAACUCCAUCAUUCUUGCAGGAAUGUGUUGGUAUGAACUAAGCUCCACUUGAAUGAAUGACCCCUAACCGAGGGGUUCCGGGGGGGAGGAGAGUAACUUUUCAGCACUGAGUGCGCUCUAUGGAGAAGGUGAACACCCUGCAGUUUCAUAGACGUUAUAUUUGGUUACAAAUUGGUUAGUACCAGGUGAAUCAACAAAUAAAGAAGACAAUUGAAUAAAAUAUAAAUCUUGAGGAUAAAAAAUCAAAGAUAAAAGAAAAAAAUAAUUAGUUGCUCCCUGUCAAAGUUCAGGUAACUGGGCUCUGCCCUUCACCAUUCCUCUGCCCUUCACCGGUCUGGCUCCCAGUCAUGUGGACUAUGGGAGGCAGGCAGACUGGUUUGCAUGGUCUGAAUGCCUAGGGCUUGGAAAAAUGCCAGGGCCUCAGCUGUUGAGGAUAACUGGUAUGUCGCUCCGUUCCUUCACACACUCAAGGAUCUCUGAGUCGACCAUCUGUAAGAGACCCCGGCGGCACGGCAUUGGUGAGCUACUGGGCUUAUGGAAUGCCUCCAUUGGAGAAUGAACCAGGUAAUAGGUGAGUGUGGAUGAUUUGAAGGUGUAGAGUAUUUUUCCCCUUAAUGCCGACCAGAUGUGGCCUUUAUCAAGAAGCGUUUGGCAGCAUGCUAUCACGUCCUGUGGAGACGCUGCAGGAGCUUUCUGGGAUUUGUUAAUACGAAAGCAGCCAUCAAAGACAAUCUUCUGCGUUGCCAGUAUCAGGGAGGCUACCAGGCGUCUCAUAUAAUGUGGUAGCUCAUCAGGCAAGACUGCAUCUGUAAUGCCCCUAAUCUUGAUGUUAGCUCUGCGGCUUCGGUCAUCAAGAAUGUCAGCUCUCAUUGCUAAGGAGGUUUGAGUUUUCUGAAUUUGUUGCAUGGAUUCUCUUAUUGUAGAGACCUGUUGGCGCAGGUCAAUAAUAUCCUCCUUAGUGGCCAGGGUUCUUGCUGUCACUGCUUGGACUUCCACUUUAAGAAGGUCAAGGUCAGCUGCAAACAGUUGCUUAAUAUUUUGUAGCAGGUUGGCAAUGUCUUGUUUUGUGGAGGGCGUAUGAUGGUCCUCUCCAGGGGUCUCUGCUGGUGCAUUUGGCCUUUCCAGGGGAACAGGGACCGGCUCCUCCACUGUGUGUCUGGGCAUGGGUGUGCAGGCCUUACCUUCCACCUGGGUGGCCAUCUUGUGUGUCACAGGGUGCUAAAACAUAGUGCCGAUAUUGAAGUUCUCGUUUACUCUAGUCUGAGGCUGGUAUCGGCAGCCCAUGUUGUAUGUGCUCUGGACCUGGGCCGGUCUUUCAGGUGAGUAGUAGAGUAGUUCCUCCAAUGACAGGCCCGAAGGCAGCACGGAGGUUUUAGGUUGCUGAGGGGCACGAAAAGCCUUAAUCCAUAGGCGUGGGAGUUUGCCUGUUAUAUGGUAAAGGAUAGGCAUCUGGUGGUUCCACACCAUGUUAGGGAAUGGUAUAUGCUGGAUUGCGUCUAAAUAUUGUGUUUUAGUCAAGUAAUUUAGCUGAUUUCGAUCGCUAGCGCUGGAGCUCUCAAAAAAAAUGUAUAUGUAGACAUACAAAGGAGUAUACAGAAAAGAAAUAACAACCAUAAGCACACAUAUCAGCUGGGUAUGGGGAUGCACAGUGUUUUUUAGAUAAAAAAACUGUGGGACAUCUAUGACUGUCAUUAACACACAUGGCUGUGUGACUUGGAAGGAAAAGCGUCCAGGUGCGGCCUAUUGGUAGUGCCCACAUCUCCAACAGAUCAGGGACUAGUUUGGAUAUAUUUUAAGUAUGUGAGUAGGUACCAUGUACCAUCUAUACAGUGUUUUCUUUUGUUGUUUUAGGAGUGGGGCUGAUGUGAUCACCCUUUUCGUAGAGGAGAUAAAGUGUUCCCAUUUUUUUCUUGGGGCUGGGGACCUGGAGGUCUAGAGCCCAAUGUUGUGCAGGUGUGGAGACAUCAAAUGGUUUGUAAGUCUGGAGGAGCUGGUAGCACCUGGAGAGUGGCUUAUAGCUAGGUGGGAGUGUACCUUUUACCCCUAUUUGUUCCCAUAAUGAGAGCUCCUGUGGUUUAUGACCAUUGGUGGCAGUUACUGGUUCAUGCCGUUGUAAGAAGGAUUUGAGUUGCAUAUAAGAGAAUUUGGAGGUGUAUGGGAUGUCGUAAGCUGAUUGGAUCUUUGGAAAAUUCAUUAGAGUACCUGACUCAUGUGCGUGUAGUAAGUGUGUGGCCCCUCUCUCUUUCCAUGGUGUUGCUUGGAAUGUCGGGAUGCAGUAGUUGAUGGCAUCAAUCGAGGUGGCUAAAGAUAGGGGAUGUGCUGUUUCUAACUUUGGUCUAUGUUUAUCCCAUAUUUGUAGGGCUAGUUUGAUUUGUGUCGGCAAGAGUAGUACAGCAGGUCUAAACUUUUUGGGGAGCCACUGUAAAUUGGGAAUGGUGAAGGGUCGUAUAGCUAGGUUCUCCAGGGAUACCCACUGAGGUUGAUUGUCUCUAAUGAAAUGAGGUAUUAGUAAAGUUAAAAUUGCUGCCUGGUAGUAGAUUUUAAUAUAUGGGUAUACCAUCCCUCCCCAGCGCACCAGGGCCUUCAAUAGUUUGUUGGAUAUUCUAGCCCUCCCGUUUCCCCAGGUGAAUUGUGUCACUUCCCAGUGCAUAGUCUUAAAGUAGGAUUGAGGUACAUGUAUCAGAACAGGUAUUGGAGUUUGGCCACUAUGCGCUCUGUCCAGGUAAGAAAUAGGCGUCUCCAGUUUCGUAGGAUGGAUUUACAUUACUUCCAGACCCUGGUGUAAUUAGUGGGGAACAUUUCAGAGACCUUUUUGGUGAAUGUUGGCCUAGAUAUUUCAGGUCGUUCUUUCUCCAUUCAAACUGGUACUCCCUACGUAGGUUUGUUAGUACUUGUGGGUCUAGUCGGAGUCCUAGGCCUUGUGUUUUGCUGGUAUUAAGGGAAUAGUAUGACAGGUAACUUCCGCAACUUCAACUGUCAAACGCUAAGCUGACUACCAACCAGGAAAAAAUCUUGGAAUGAGGUUUAUCUUUUGUCCCAAUACCAUUGUUUAAUAAAUUUAAUUGGACAAAAGAUAUUCACCUGUUUGCUAGAUGGCUAGCUUUACAUAAAUAUCACAAAAUCCAAAAAGAGAAAAAAGCAAAAAACUUGUGCCUGACAGCAAAAGAUUUAGAAUGUGUCGAAUCUAGUAUCUCUCUUGGAAGACAAUGAGGGAUCUAUGGUAACUCCAUCACAUACCUAUUUGAAGACAAAAAUAUAUUUUACCCCCAACUUCAAAGAAUAUCGGAGUAUUGAUAUAUUUGUGGAAAUGACAACAAAUGCCAUUGAACAAAUUCAGGAAGACACCCUAGAAUUGACUAUUCAUGGUAACCAGUCAAAACAGGGAUGGUUUGCCCUAAAUGAUAUUAAAAAAUGAAUCUCUCAUAAUUAAACCUGCAGAUAAUUUAGUGUUGAUGAAUAGAGAGGACUACACACUAAUGGAUGAAAAGAUUCUGAAAGAGGAAUCAACCUAUAGAAUUUUGAAAAAGAAUCUGACCAUCCAAUAUCUGAUUGAAUAGAAAGCUCUAUCAGAUGAAGCUCUAGAUAAUGGUACACUAUCCAAAGAGUAAUAUAAUUUCAUCUACAAUAGAUCACCCAAAAUCUCAACCUUAUAUUGUCUACCAAAAAUACAUAAACAAUAUACACACCUUACAGGAAGACUUAUUGUUUCAGGGAUAGACAAUAUGACCCAAAAUGGGAGCCAAUAUAUUGAUCAGAUAGUAAGAAAAUUUGUUGUGACUCUACCUUCAUACUUAAAGGACACCAAAGAGACCCUAAGUUAUCUAUCAACUACGCAGCUACCAGAAGGGGCAUAUCUGUGUAGUUUAGAUGUGGAGUCACUCUAUUCAUCAAUACAACACAAGAUUGGCCUUGGACAUACUAGGAAUUUCCUAGAACUAAGAUGCAAAAGCCAUCAGGCACGUACUGAAUUUAUUUUUAAAACUCUUACAAUUGUUUGAUUUCUUUUGUCAUUUUCUGCUAUAUAUGCAAUGAUGUUUGGCUUGUGGUGUUUGGCUUGAAAAAGAACUCUGUGUAGGUCGAAACGUUGCUGCUCUUUUUGUUCCAUUUAAAACCUGCCUGCAGCUUUAACACUUGAGUGCCUGGAUAUUCCUUUUUUUGCCUUGAUGUGUUGGGAUUGCUGGUCCUGUUCCAGAGCAUCGGUGGCUGCUGGGAUUGAGUUUGGCUCCUACAAUUAUCUUUGUAAUACAGUAUGUACAGCACCUUGGAUCCUGCACCUCCCUGAUGUGAUUAUUCUUAAUUGAUUUUUUUUUUUUACUUUUUCAGCUUGUGUUUAAUUUGGCAGUAUGGAACAAAAUGUAUUUUCUGGUACUUUUUCGUACUCGGAGGGGGAUGCUAUGCGAAUCCUCCAGGCGGUUGAAAGCAACCAUUCCUUUUUACAAGUUCCUACCUCAGAUAAUGUCUCCAGAACCCUAGAAAAUGCCUUAAGAAGCACCUGAGUUAUACAAUGCACAGUGUUACACUGGCAGAAUAUUACAGGGUACAUAGAAUACUAAGAAGCAUGAGGAUGAAUGUGCAACCUACUCUAUUCAGAGAUUAUGGAGAUUAUUGUACCAGACUAGAGGCGAUUCUUAAUAAGUGUUCCAUGGUCUGGAUCUUUCUUAAUUUAGAGUUUCUACAACAAGCGAUUGUCAAAACAAAAGAAGAAGAAGCUAAACUUGAAGCAGAAUUAAUCAAAGCCUCACAAGGGUUAGCCCUAGCUACAAUAAAAAGUAAAAUCAACCAUAGUGUUGAUACACUCAAGAGAGAGAUUGAAGAACGGAAGAGAAAUACAUUUCAAAGGGAUCAGACUGAUUAUGAGUUGGGCAAUGUAUAUAGAUGGCACAAUCAUGACAAAAUAAGAAAUUAUCCCUCCUAUGAGAAAAAAGACACCGAAAUCUAAACACCACACUGGUGAAGAUUCAUAAAAUACAGAGAUGGAAAACUUCUAGGAUAGUUCUCUCUCUUUUUUAGAGAGAACCCCCUCCUCACGAGUAACAUCAAGCGAAGAAGGAUGCGACGAGGCGGGGGUGGCAACAAGAAAUCAGACUUUACCAGCAAUUUGGGACCACAAAAAAACUGGGACCAAAGAGAAAAAACUACAGUAAUCAACAUCUCAUCAGUUGAAUUGACGAAUGAUGAACUUGCCGUUCUCUCUAAAUGUCUGACUUUUUUUCCUAGUUAUACUCCCACACAUGUGGAGAUUGAUUAGGAACUAACCCGUUUCUUUCGUUCCUUAAAACUAAAAACCUUCUUUGAUAAAGUGCAGGUACCUCUCUCUUCCCCUGUAUUUUUUUUUACUUUUUCAGCUUGUGUUUAAUUUGGCAGUAUGGAACAAAAUGUAUUUUCUGGUACUUUUUCGUACUCGGAGGGGGAUGCUAUGCGAAUCCUCCAGGCGGUUGAAAGCAACCAUUCCUUUUUACAAGUUCCUACCUCAGAUAAUGUCUCCAGAACCCUAGAAAAUGCCUUAAGAAGCACCUGAGUUAUACAAUGCACAGUGUUACACUGGCAGAAUAUUACAGGGUACAUAGAAUACUAAGAAGCAUGAGGAUGAAUGUAACCUACUCUAUCUAGAGGCGAUUCUUAAUAAGUGUUCCAUGGUCUGGAUCUUUCUUAAUUUAGAGUUUCUACAACAAGCGAUUGUCAAAACAAAAGAAGAAGAAGCUAAACUUGAAGCAGAAUUAAUCAAAGCCUCACAAGGGUUAGCCCUAGCUACAAUAAAAAGUAAAAUCAACCAUAGUGUUGAUACACUCAAGAGAGAGAUUGAAGAACGGAAGAGAAAUACAUUUCAAAGGGAUCAGACUGAUUAUGAGUUGGGCAAUGUAUAUAGAUGGCACAAUCAUGACAAAAUAAGAAAUUAUCCCUCCUAUGAGAAAAAAGACACCGAAAUCUAAACACCACACUGGUGAAGAUUCAUAAAAUACUGAGAUGGAAAACUUCUAGGAUAGUUCUCUCUCUUUUUUAGAGAGAACCCCCUCCUCACGAGUAACAUCAAGCGAAGAAGAAUGCGACGAGGCGGGGGUGGCAACAAGAAAUCAGACUUUACCAGCAAUUUGGGACCACAAAAAAACUGGGACCAAAGAGAAAAAACUACAGUAAUCAACAUCUCAUCAGUUGAAUUGACGAAUGAUGAACUUGCCGUUCUCUCUAAAUGUCUGACUUUUUUUCCUAGUUAUACUCCCACACAUGUGGAGAUUGAUUAGGAACUAACCCGUUUCUUUCGUUCCUUAAAACUAAAAACCUUCUUUGAUAAAGUGCAGGUACCUCUCUCUUCCCCUGUAUUUUUGUUAUAUGUGGGACAAACUAGUCAGAAGUUUAAAAUGAGGUUUUCUAAACAUAAGUCCAAGAUACGCACUGGACUGACUGAUUUACCUCUCCCUGCACACUUUUUGGAAGCUGGACAUGGUGUCUCUAAAUUAAGGUUCCAGAUUUUAGAACAAAUUAUGGAAUCACCAAGGAAGGGCGAUAGGAAUAAGAGACUAUUAUUACGUGAGGCCUAUUGGAUUCGGGAACUUGACACAUUUUAUCCCAAAGGUUUAAAUUAUGAAUACGAUCUGUCUAUGCUUAUUUAAAUAAUGGUUGCUUUAAUUGUUUUUAUGAUGGUUGGCUAUAUGUAGCCUAACGUUUAUAUCUUCUUUAUUUUUUACAGGUUUCCGGGUAGAAAUAUGGUGCUAGUUCUUCUUUUUUCACCCUAAUCCCUUGUUUUGAGCAUGACAUGAGAUUCUGGAUUUAAUUGGGACUUCUGAUUUGGACACACUAUAUGACUUCUUAAUUGCACCAUAAGUAUUUAACUAUUUGCAAUGAUCAUUUUAGCACACUCUAUAGAUAUAAAAAGACACUCUGUGAAAUAAUUUUUGAUUAGUAUAUUUGAUUAUUCUAGCACUUGGUCACUUUUUAUAUAUUGUCCGAUACUUGUUCACUUUAUAUUUAUGCAUGCACUUUAGUAAUUUUGCUUAUUGUUAAGCUAUACUAUGACACUUUUGCACUUGCACUUUAUUAUGAUAUUAUUUUUUAUUAUUAUAUAUUAUGCUCACUUAGUGGCAUUUGUCUAUUCUUUCGACAACAUUUUCUAUACCAUUUUCCAUUACAGUGUAGGUGAUUUUUUCACAUAAUGAUGAAUUCUGCACUGGUAACAAUUAAUAUAAAUUCUGUGCCAGCUCAAUUCGUUUCACUGAUCUGAUAUAGUUUUGAAGAAUUAUUUAUUUUAUUGACUAUGCAUUAUAUAUGUAUUUUUAGAUUUUUCAUGUAUUAUUUGCUGCCUCUUUUGUGCCUUGGUGGGAGAUUGACCUUUUUGUUGUUAUUCAUACAUCUUUUGUAUUUCUAUAGGAUUAUUUUUUAUUUAUAUAUUUUUAAUUUUUUAUUAUUUUAUAUUAUUUAUUUUUACUUUUCAUACUACUUUUGUUAUUAUUUUUUUGUUUCUUUGUUUGAUUUCUGAUUUUUCAUUAUUAUUAUUUUUUAUUAAUUUUCUAUUUUUGUGUUUUAGUUUUAUAUUUUUUUAUUCUUUUCUUUUUUCUCUUGUCUUUUUUCUCUAUUUCUUUCUCUUUUUUUAUUUUUUUAUCUUUAUCUUAUAUUAUUUUUAUCUUGUAUCUUAUAUGUUAUUUAUAUUUUUUCUCUCUUCUUUCUGCUUUUUUUUACUAUAUUACAUAAUUGAUAUUAGCCUUAUUUGGCUUGUUGUUUACAUUCACAGUUAUUUUGUUUUGAGAUUACAUUUCUUGACUAUGCGCAUGUGCGCACCCUGGUUUAUUUCAUCUAUAUCCCAUUGUGUGUUUUAACAUACGAACGGAUAUUCUUUUCAAUUCUUGUAUAGCUCGUUCGUGCGCAUGUCUGUGCGUUCCAUUGCUUCUGUUCAUGUGUUUGGACACACAAACUGAUAUUUGGCUUGGCACCUACAUGGAUCCAUAGAAGGGGUAGUCCUUUUGCGUUUCAGAAGCCCUUCUGCGUUUCAAUUAACCGCAAAUGAUUUCCUAGCGCUUUUAUAGAUCUUUCAUUUAUUUUAUUUUUAUUAUUUAUUUUUUCAAUCUUGGUCUCUCCCUCCUCUGGCACAUAGGGGUAGGUUAUAGACUAUUUCAUAUGGUAGAUCUAUAGAUAUAUUAUGCAUAAUUUGUAUUGUUUUGUGUUAUUCAUUUUUGCUAAUGUCUUUCACUUAAGUGAAUUAUUGUUUGAUUUAUUUUGGCAUUUUCUGCUAUGCAUGCACAGAUGUUUGGCUUUUGGUGUUAGCUUGAAAAAGACCUCUGUGUAGGUCGAAAUGUGGCUGCUCUUUUUGUUCCAUUAAAAACCUGCCUCCGGCUUUAACACUUGAGUGCCUUGUUAUUCCUUUUUAUGCAUUGUUAAACAGGCCGACAAUUAUAAAAAAUCUUCCCUGGGGAUCAAAAAAAAGUUUCAGCAGUUGAAACUCUAUAUCUCUGUGAAUGAGAAUGGAGAUCUCUUUUGUCUUAUUUUCAGAAAAGGCAUAAUAUUGAGUUGGAAAUGUUUUUGUGAAGAUCGCAGGAGUCCUGAUGUUUUUAAAAUGCGUCUCCUGAAUACAUGCUAUGUCAAUCUCAUGUUUCUUAAGAUCUUGUAGUAGUAGCCUACACUUGCCGGGGUAGUUUAGACCCUUUACAUUAUAAGUCAGUAACUUCAUACUGUCACAUUAAAAUGACAAGAGUUGCUUUUUUGCAUAUCCAUACCUAUGACUCCCAGUAUGGUAGUAACUGUAAUUUCCUCUAUGUUCAUGUUUUAGCCCCAUCUUCCAUCUAUUUUUCAGAGCUAUCCAUCUUACUUUUAAUCUGUACUGGAGUGCAGACAUCAGCAUUCUGUUAGGACUUCCAAGUGGAAUUGCUGGGCCGGGGUCAUUGGGCUGUGACUGGGUGCGGGUGGGGUAGAACCCAAAUAGUUUUAGAGCGUAUUUGCGCUACCUGAAGGAUAGGCGCAUCCGUUGAGGGCUAUGGUAGUGAGACUCUCUAGCACAGAGGGCUUCUCACAAGUGAACCGUUGGAGCACAUUCAACAUGAAACAUGAAAACAUAAUAGUUAUGAACAAAACCGGAGUAUAUGACAUUUUAGUGUGACGCUGUUGUUUGCAGCCCAUAUCUAAGGGUUGCUACCUAUUUGUAGGCAUACUGAGCCCAACUGCUGUUCCUGCAUGUCCUAAAGAGUGGCCGAAGGUCGCUGAAUAGGCAAAGUCUGUGUCUAACCAGUGUUCUGUGCUUUUACCUACUGGACACAAGAAGUAGAUGUCUAUGUGUGUGCCUAGUGGUGUUGAGUACUUCAGGUAUGCGAAUAUGAACAGUGUGUGAUAAAGGUACUUAACGGUUAUGUAAGGAAGCACAUAAUAGAACCUGUGGGGACAAUCAGCGUAUAGUUACAUGCUACUCUGGAAGAGGCAGAGCAGUGUUAUUGUACUGUUCAUUCUGGAGACAUCCUGGGGACUUUAGCUGGCUUGGUACUUGUAGGUGCCGGGGUCGGGAACUCCCAGUCUGUCAGCUUUUGGAUACCUUGCGCCAAGUUUGUAAUGGCGUGUAGAACAUCAUGGUGGAAAACCAGGAGAUUGGCUGCGAAUCCCCAUCUGAAGUUUAAAUUGUACUCAUGGAGGGUCAAGGUGACAGGUGCCAAUGACUUCCGAAUAUGCAGCGUUUCUGCAGACAAGUCCACAAAGAUCUUGACGGUGUGGUAUUUUUUUGGCAUGUUAAUAUUCCUGCUGGCAUGUACUAUCCGUUCCUUGGCAUGGAAGAAAUUGAUCCUCGCUAUGACGUCUCUCGCUGUCUUUGUGGGUAGGUGUUUAGGUCUAUGCAAUCUGUGAGCUCUGUCUAUUAUGAGUUGUUCUGGGUGGAUUUCUGGCAUUAGAUUCUGGAACAAGUCCAUUAGAUAAUUAUUCAGGUCAGCGUUAAGUACUGACUCCGGUAUCCCUUGGAAUCUGAAGUUGUUCCUCCUUGACCUGUCUUCCAAGACAGCUAGCUUAAGCCUGUGUGAUUCCAGUGUGUCAUCCAGUUCUUGGAGUUUGUCUGCUAGGAUGUUAUGGGCCACUGCAUAGUCAUCCAUUUUAGCUUCCAUGUAGGACGUGCGGUUCCCUAUGUCCUGAAUUUCCUUCUGGAGGUCAAUUGACAGUGUUUGCAUUUGCAGUUUGAUAGUAUUUUGUAUUGUGUCAGAAAAGUCUGCCAUUAUCGCCCGUAUGCUGCCCAGUUUUCAGUGGUUGUUCAUCCGCGGUGGGGCCUUGUGACUCUCUGCCAUCUUGUGCAGGGUCCUGGUCUUCCUGCCUUUUUAGGACCGCCGUUUUUGUAAGGAAAAAGGAGGCUCAACUCAUUUUCCCCUCUAGUUUUUUGGCGUUGGGACAUUGUGCUACCGGUUGCUAAGUGUAUGUUGCGUUUAGUAGUCCGCUUAUUUAGUGCUCUUUUCAGUUUUGUAGCCGGGAGCUGUUAUUACAUGUGGCCGCUCGGUUUCAGCGCGAGACCCCGCCCAUAUUUAUUAUUUAUUUGUAAAGUAAUAAAUAUAUAUAUAGUGUAUUUUUUAUAUAUUUAUAUAUAUCAUUAACGAAAUUAUUAAUAUAUAUGUAUAUAUUAAUAAAAAAAUACACUUAGUAUGACGUUAUAGAUAAUAUAUAUAUAUAUAUAUAUAUACAUAUAUAUAUAUAUAUAUACAUAUUAAAAGAAAUGAAGGGGAGCGGUCAAGGAUAGGGGUUUAGUGUAACACCCUCGUCCCAUACCUAACCCACAAAAAAAGGUCAACUAGACUGGAAAAGAGUAUAAGCAUAGAACACCCAUGAAGGUGUUUACAGGAGAUUAGGGUCUAGAGACUAGGGACACCUUUACCAGAUAUCUCUAGUAUUUAUAGAGAGGUGGAGUCAUUUGUAUAUAUCCCUAUCACCUAUCUCCUCGUAUAUAAACCCUUCACUUUCUUUCUUUCUUUCUGUGCUUAUUUCUCACUGUUUAUCAUAUCUCUCACUAUUCCUUUGUGUUUUGACUUUUGCCUCUGGAUGAUUACACUAGGCUCUGUUGUAGCCAAUGUUAUAUACAUUUCCAUGAGGGCUUAUAAACCAAAGGUGGAGAUUGCUACUUUUUCUGUUAGUUCUCAUUGUUACAUUUAUAUCCUGUAGAGUUAAUGUGGCAUGCUUAAUUACCAACUAUUAGCUACUGAGCAUAUCACUCAGUAUUUAAACAGCUUUUUGAGAAUUUAAGGGAUUUUUGUUUUUCAAAACUGAAUUAAAGCAUAGAAAAUCCACGACGGUGCUUAUAUGAGACUGCAGGUCUAUAGACUAGGGAUACCCUUACCACAGACCUCUGGUAACUCUAGAGAGGUGGAUUUAAUUUGUUAUAUCCCUAUUACUUAUCUCUCUGUAUAUACCCUUCAUUUUACAUUUUUUCCUGUGUGAUUUUUUUCUCACCAUUUAACAUAUCUUUCACUAUUCCUUUUACGUUAUAGUUUUUGCUUCUGGAAGAUCACACUCAUUUAGAUACAUAAAUGAGAAAAGAAAAGAAAAGUAAAACAAGGAUUAGUUAGAUUAAAAACAAAAGAAGGAAGGUAUGUAGAAAAGGAUAAAGGUCUAGCUGACUGCCUCAAUUAAUAUUUCUGUUCGGUAUUUACAGAUGAAAAUGAAGGAAAGGGACCUCAGUUAAGAAAAAGGAUAAAUGAGUCAUUUAUUACACAUGAGUUUACAGAGGAAGAGGUUCUAUUUCAACUGUCAAAAGUAAAGACAAAUAAGUCAAUGGGACCUGAUGGAAUACACCCAAAGCUAUUAAAAGAGCUUAGUGGUGUACUAGCAAAUCCAUUAACAGAUUUAUUUAACCAAUCAUUGUUAACAGGAGUAGUCCCAGAAGAUUGGAAGUUAGUGAAUGUUGUGCCCAUUCACAAGAAAGGUAAUAGGGAGGAGUCAGUGCAAAUAUAGGCCAGUAAGCUUCAGUAGUGGGGAAAGUGAUGGAAACCAUGUUAAAGGAUAGGAUUGUUGAACAUCUAAAAACACAUGGAUUUCAAGAUCAGAGACAACAUGGGUUUACUUCAGGGAGAUCAUGCCAAACUAAUCUUAUUGAUUUUUUUUGAUUGGGUAACGAAAAUUAUAGAUCAGGGUGGUGCAGUAAACAUUGCUUACCUAGAUUUCAGUAAGGCUUUUGACACUGUUGCAUAUCAAUAAACUGCAAUCUUUAAGUUUGAAUUCCAAUAUUGUUGAAUGGGUAAGGCAGUGGCUGAGUGACAGGCAACAGAGGGUUGUAGUCAGUGGAGUAUAUUUGAAGCUUGGGCUUGUCACCAGUGGGGUACCUCAGGGAUCUGUACUUGGACCCAUUCUCUUUAAUAUUUGUAUUAGUGAUAUUGCAGAAGGUCUUGAUGGUAAGGUAUCUCUUUUUGCUGAUGAUACCAAGAUAUGUAACAGGGUUGAUGUUCCAGGAGGAAUAAGCCAAAUGGCAAAUGAUUUAGGUAAACUAGAAAAAUGGUCAGAGUUGUGGCAACUGACAUUUAAUGUGGAUAAGUGCAAGAUAAUGCAUCUUGGACGUAAAAACCCAAGGGCAGAGUACAGAAUAUCUGAUAGAGUCCUAACCUCAACAUCUGAGGAAAGGAAUUUAGGGGUGAUUAUUUCUGAUGACUUAAAGGUAGGCAGACAAUGUAAUAGAGCAUCAGGAAAUGCUAUCAGAAUGCUUGGUUGUAUAGGGAGAGGUAUUAGCAGUAGAAAGAGGGAAGUGCUCAUGCCAUUGUACAGAACACUGGUGAGACCUCACUUGGAGUAUUGUACGCAGUACUGGAGACCGUAUCUUCAGAAGGAUAUUGAUACUUUAGAGAGAGUUCAAAGAAGGGCUACUAAACUGGUUCAUGGAUUGCAGGAUAAAACUUACCAUGAAAGGUUAAAGGAUCUGAACAUGUAUAGCUUGGAAGAAAGACGUGACAGAGGGGAUAUGAUAGAAACAUUUAAAUACAUAAAGGUAAUCAACACAGUAAAGGAGGAGACUAUAUGUAAAAGAAGAAAAACUAUACUGAGAGGGUAGUGGAUGCAUGGAAUAGCCUUCCAGCUGAAGUGGUAGAGGUUAACACAGUAAAGGAGUUUAAGCAUACGUGGGAUAGGCAUAAGGCUAUCCUAACUAUAAGAUAAGGCCAGGGACUAAUGAAAGUAUUUUAAAAAUUGGGCAGACUAGAUGGGCCGAAUGGGAAUUGGGCAUUCUAUGUUUCGAUGUUUCUCUGUCGUAACCAGUGCUGUAUAUACUUCUAUGAGGGCUUAAACACAUAAAGGGGGAGAUUGCUACCUCUUCAGUUAGUUCUCGUACUGCCAAUCCAUGCCCAUUUGGAACUAGUGUGGUAUGCUUUAUUAUUAUUAUCUAUUAAUAAUAAACUACUAUCUAAUAGACUAUCUAUUAUUGAGCAUCUCACUCAGUGCUGUUCCCCCUCCCAGGCUACACUGUUUAAUUUGUCAUAGUACUUUUUAGAGUUGAUAAUAAAGUUCUUUUGGGGUAGGGGCUCAUUUUUUUUUUAUUAUUAUUAAUUUAUUUUUCCAUUUUUUUUUUUUUACUGAGUACCUCAACCCCUCGAGGUACUCAGCACAUGCAGAGUAUCGGAAGCCUGGCUGAUGGCUUCCAAUGCUCUGCCCUACACUGCCGGGCACCACGUGGAGCAACCCGGAAAUGAUCACUCUGGGGGAAGCGAUAACUCAGGUACCCAGCAGUGAGGGGGGGUAUUGUAUGAUGCAUUGAUAUCGAGGCAUCGUGCAAUACCCAUAGAGCGUCUGGAAGCGAUCAUGAUACAUCUGCAGUCCUUAAGGACCAUUUUUUGUCGGAUGUACCUGAUACAUCCGUGGUCGGGAAGGGGUUAAGGGCACAGUCAAUUUUACAAGUUCUAAUCAAAACAAAACUUGGAAUUUGCGCUAUAAGUCUGUUCAACCAUAAUUCACCUAACCCAUUUCGCUGCUAGGGCUAACCAUAUGGUAAGAAGGAAAGAAAAAAAAAAGAAAAGAAAACCAAAACCCAUACUAUGAUAAGGAAGGUUUUAAACCUCCCUAGGCCCCCACCUGCCAUGCAACAGGUAGGGGCAUAUCUGGUAAAUAUUUAAAAAUAGCAACAGGGUGACCAAUACAGCCCAGUAACCAGAAAGUCCCUAUCCCAUAAGGAUGGGGUAUGGAAAAUAACAGGGGGGAGGCAUAAUAGAAACUUUAGUAGAGAGCCCUGACUUUUUUUUUUUUGAAAGUCCAUAAAGCAUUUUGAUUUUUUGUACCUGCAUUUGAUAUUGAGAUUUGUUGUUUUCUGUUAUUUCCCAUUUAUUAAUGUUGAAGACUGUUUAUAUUUAGUAUUUUAAUAUGACUAAUGUAAUAGUCAUUUCAGUCACUGGUGGUAUUAGAUACACUGUUUUUGUGUGAUGAAGCAGCCUUUAAUUUCCUGUUUAAUGUGAGGUUUUGUCAUCAGUCUGUAGUUCCUUGUCUCACUGUGUCUCUUGCACAAAAAUAUAUACCAGAUUCUUCACUUCUCAUAUUGGUGAUUUGGACAUAAACUUCAUUCUUUGCGGUGUCUCUGGUGAAUGUGGCUCGAUUGUUAAACGAGGAGCCAGGCUGUGAGGUUCCACUGCUGGCAAUACGACCAAUAUAUUCCAGUCCCUUUCCUGGAAGCUGUCUGAUCCAGCCCCAGUAAUAUCUAGUAACAGCCACUGAAACUUUACAGGUCAGUUUCAUAGUCUCUGAGGGUUUCACAGUUACUGAUCCAGGUUGAUCCAGGGUAACUGCUUGCGAGAGGACAUCUGAAACA